rnacentral:rRNA from 1 species
AUUGAACGCUGGCGGCAUGCCUUACACAUGCAAGUCGAACGGCAUCGCGGGAAAGCUUGCUUUCCUGGCGGCGAGUGGCGAACGGGUGAGUAACACAUCGGAACGUACCGGCUAGUGGGGGAUAACCCGUCGAAAGACGGGCUACUACCGCAUACGCUCUUCGGAGGAAAGCAGGGGACCUUUUGGCCUUGCGCUAGCCGAGCGGCCGAUGUCCGAUUAGCUAGUUGGUGGGGUAAAGGCCUACCAAGGCGACGAUCGGUAGCGGGUCUGAGAGGACGAUCCGCGACACUGGGACUGAGACACGGCCCAGACUCCUACGGGAGGCAGCAGUGGGGAAUCGUGGACAAUGGGGGCAACCCUGAUCCAGCAAUGCCGCGUGGGUGAAGAAGGCCUUCGGGUUGUAAAGCCCGUUCGGCAGGGAAGAAAUCGGCGGGGCGAAUAACCCUGCUGGAUGACGGUACCUGCAGAAGAAGCACCGGCUAACUACGUG